rnacentral:misc_RNA from 1 species
UUUCCGUAGGUGAACCUGCGGAAGGAUCAUUAUUGAAUACGUUUGGUUCUGAUGCUGGCUCUUCACUGAGCAUGUGCUCGAUCCAUAACUAUUUAUCUUCUCUUGUGCACCUUUUGUAGUCUUUCAGAGCAAGUGAUAACUCUCGCAGCAAUGCGGUUUGGGGGACUUGGGCGUGAGCCCUUCCCCUUCGUUUGCUUCUUUGGAGGGCUAUGUUUUCAUAUACACUAUAAAGUUACAGAAUGUCUUUUAAAGAUUGUGCUAGUCGCAGUCAUUAAACCUAUACAACUUUCAGCAACGGAUCUCUUGGCUCUC